rnacentral:rRNA from 1 species
AUGGCCUCCGGCUCGAGUUCAUCCACUGCUAGAAAAGGAGGCUUUCACUUGAUGAGUUGCCUAAAAGAAGUUCCGACACUCAGAGGUGACAACCACACUGAGUGGAGGAAGAAAGUUGAACUGGCGUUUGUUUGUGCUGAUCUUGACUGGGUUGUGGAGAAACCACAGCCGGUCAGACCCACAGAGCCAGUAAGAGAGGCCACUGAUGAUGAUGCUGCAUGGGCUAAAAAGAAAGGGGACUAUGCUCCUUUGGAGCAGUCCUACCUCAUAGAUAACCAAAAGUGGGUCAAUACAAACAAAAAAUGCAUGGCCUUUAUAAAGAACACAAUUGAGAGCGUCAUUGUGGGCUCCAUUGCAGAGUGCACUUCCGCAGGGGAGUUGCUCUCAAAGAUAAAGAGCCAGUUCACUGGCUCUUCAAAGAUAUAUGCCACCUAG